CACAGCACCAACUAUUGCCCCCAAACUGCUGUCUCUUUCAAAGUUAUCUAGGACUCCAGAGCAAUUUAGCUCUUUUGAUAAGCCUUGCCAGAACUCAGGUUCUGACCGCUGGAAUGGGCAAUUUCCCUCUGGCUAAGUCUGGUCUAAAUGUUCCUUCUGUAAGUGCCAGUUGAUUUCUACCCAGUGUUGCUUUCUGCUGUGACAGGGCAGCACUGAGUUGCAAUGCAAAGCUCCACAGUCACUAGGCUCUCCUUCCCCCAAGAAAACAGAUUCUCUCUCCAUGCCAUGCAGCUGCUGCCAGAGAAUGAAGGAUGGUGUUAGCAUUUCAAGACUGUCUUUUCUGCCCUCUUCCGUUCUGCUUUCAGUGAUAUGAAGUUAAAACCAGGUAUGGACUUAUCUGUACUCAGCCAACUGUAGAAGAACAACCCUUCAGAGCUCCUGAGAGUUGGUCGUCUUCAUACAGCUACUCUGGAUUUAGGACAUUUCACCCACAACUAUAAACUGGGCAGAGAAUGGGAGAAGAGCAUGAGGAAUCAUAUAACAGCAAUGGAUGCCAAAGAAAAAUAAUCCUCUGCAGAGAUUUAUGGGGGAACAGGGUCUCGCUGACUUACUGUUGCCCAGAUUGGAGUGCACUGGAGCAAUCAUAGCUCACUGCAGCCUCAAACUCCUGGGCUCAAGUGAUCCUCCCACCUCACCCUCUGGAAUAGCUGGGACUACAGGCAUGCACCACCACCAUGCGUGCUAAUUUUUGUAUUUUUGGCAGACGAGGUUUUGCCAUGUUGCCUAGGAUGGUCUCAAACUCCUGGGCUCAAGAGGUCUACCCAACUCCCUCUUUCAAAGUUCUGUGAUUAUAGGUGUGAGUCACAGCACCCGACCAAUUUUAAUGAUCUAUUACACUGCAUGGAGACCACAAUUAACAUUUGCAGACUUUACAUAGUUCACGUUAAGUUUGAGAAAUCUGGCUCCUGGUUAAAAAAUCUACAGAUGAUUUCUUACGUCUGGCCAUAAACAAUUACAAAGGCUUUAUUUAACUGACAGGCCUGAUGGGGAAAACCCGUCUUCACAUCCCCAUACCAGACACGGUGAACAGAUGAUACCUUCCAGUGUCAAAGGGGAGCUGCAGUCAAACACUCAAGCCCCUCUGUGUGUCUGCCUUACACAUAUUCGCACUUUCAGCCCAGACACUUCCAGCCCUAGGUAUCUUUAUUUGGGGUCUCCAGAGACCUUUUUAUAAAAUUCGAGUAAGGAAGGGGAAAAGUUGAAGAUACUUUUCCUCACUCUAACUCAGUACUUUUCUACUCUUUGCCCUUUGCUUUUCUCUCAUCCCGUCCCAGGUCCAUAAAACUGCAGGAUUUUUUUUGUGGGGGAGCUCCCUGGGCGUUGAGAUGACCCCCGUGUCUGUGCUGAGCCCCCUGACCUUCAACUGGUGUCCUUGGGGAGAAAAUGGAAUAGGGGUGGGGCUGGGGGUUCAGCAUAAUCUCUGGUAUUAGCCUUCUGCUUAUACUAUCUCAAUCAGAAAUUAAAGGUCUGUUUGUUACUUUUAU
rnacentral:lncRNA from 1 species